rnacentral:rRNA from 1 species
CUACGGGAGACACCAGUGAGGAAUAUUGCACAAUGGGGGGAACCCUGAUGCAGCAACGCCGCGUGGAGGAUGACGCAUUUCGGUGUGUAAACUCCUUUUAUAUGUCAAGAAAAUGACGGUAGCAUAUGAAUAAGCACCGGCUAACUCCGUGCCAGCAGCCGCGGUAAUACGGAGGGUGCAAGCGUUACUCGGAAUCACUGGGCGUAAAGGACGCGUAGGCGGGUUGGAAAGUCAGGUGUGAAAUCCUACAGCUUAACUGUAGAACUGCACUUGAAACUUCUAAUCUAGAGUAUGGGAGGGGGGGAUGGAAUUAGUGGUGUAGGGGUAAAAUCCGUAGAUAUCACUAGGAAUACCUAAAGCGAAGGCGAUCUCCUGGAACAUUACUGACGCUAAGGCGUGAAAGCGUGGGGAGCAAACAGGAUUAGAUACCCGUGUAGUC